rnacentral:rRNA from 1 species
AUAACAGCUGGAAACGGCUGCUAAUACCGCAUAAGCGCACGAAGCUGCAUGGCUUUGUGUGAAAAACUCCGGUGGUAUGGGAUGGGCCCGCGUCUGAUUAGGCAGUUGGCGGGGUAACGGCCCACCAAACCGACGAUCAGUAGCCGGCCUGAGAGGGCGACCGGCCACAUUGGGACUGAGACACGGCCCAAACUCCUACGGGAGGCAGCAGUGGGGAAUAUUGCACAAUGGGGGAAACCCUGAUGCAGCGACGCCGCGUGAGCGAAGAAGUAUUUCGGUAUGUAAAGCUCUAUCAGCAGGGAAGAUAAUGACGGUACCUGACUAAGAAGCCCCGGCUAACUACGUGCCAGCAGCCGCGGUAAUACGUAGGGGGCAAGCGUUAUCCGGAUUUACUGGGUGUAAAGGGAGCGUAGACGGCAAGGCAAGUCUGAUGUGAAAACCCAGGGCUUAACCCUGGGACUGCAUUGGAAACUGUCUGGCUCGAGUGCCGGAGAGGUAAGCGGAAUUCCUAGUGUAGCGGUGAAAUGCGUAGAUAUUAGGAAGAACACCAGUGGCGAAGGCGGCUUACUGGACGGUAACUGACGUUGAGGCUCGAAAGCGUGGGGAGCAAACAGGACUAGAUACCCUGGUAGUCCACGCUGUAAAC